rnacentral:misc_RNA from 1 species
AGAUGAAUUAACUUUCCAAUUCCAGCUGGCAUGCAUGUCAGUGAUUCACACCCUAUUAAAAUAAGGUGUCUCAAAUUGAUCAACUUGUCCAUCCUGCUGGGGAGCUUGGCAAGGUGGUAGCAACCUGAUAAGUCAAGUGUCUGCAAAUUAAAGAGUUCACAUAUGGUUUCAGGAAGCAUUUGAACCGAUGUGUUGGAGAGGUCAAGAUAUCUCAAACACACCAAUUCACAAAUUGAUUCCUGCAGUGUUUUUAUGCCACACCCACUUAAGUUUAGCACUCGUAAAUACAUAAAUUUAGUGGGUGAAAAAGAAAGUUCUCCAGAGCAAACCGUAAGGGACAUCAAAAGCAGGGUUCGUAGACGUUUUGCAUUCAACAAGGCUUGUGGAAUCAUUGAAGACUCAUGGUUGUGAAUUAUUGAUGCAUGACGAGCUCGUGCAAGAUUAACUGAUGUAUGACCUUGCUCCAGCUUCACAAACUCAUUUCCUCCAACAUAUUUUGCAAGAUCAUGAAUGAGAUCAUGCAUUUUGUACACUGUCGUGUUGCCAUCUUCACCAAUUUUAACUUCCUGAAAGAAGGACCGCCACAGUAACUCAUCAAAAUAAUAAUUUCCAAUGUCCUCUAGCUGUCUGUUCCCUUCCUGUCCUAAAAUCAGGCCUUCUGCCAUCCAUAAAAGGAUUAAU